CCUACGGGGGGCAGCAGUGAGGAAUAUUGGUCAAUGGCCGGAAGGCUGAACCAGCCAUGCCGCGUGUAGGUCAGUGCCCUAUGGGCGUUAAACUUCUUUUGUGCGGGAGCAAUAAUGGUCACGUGUGGCCAGACGAGAGUACCGUACGAAUAAGCAUCGGCUAACUCCGUGCCAGCAGCCGCGGUAAUACGGGGGGUGCAAGCGUUAGCCGGAUUAAUUGGGUUUAAAGGGUGCGUAGGCUGUGAGGUAAGGCAGCGGUGAAAUGCCCCCGCUCAACGGGGUGAAGUGCCAUUGAUACUGGCAGGCUGGAAUGCGGAUGCCGUGGGAGGAAUGUGUGGUGUAGCGGUGAAAUGCAUAGAUAUCACAAAGAACACCGAUUGCGAAGGCAUCUCACGAAUCUGAGAUUGACGCUGAUGUACGAAAGCGUGGGUAUCAAACAGGAUUAGAUACCCUUGUAGUC
rnacentral:rRNA from 1 species